AUGGGGAGGGAAAUUAGAGUACUGAAGUAACCGAUUCCAUACUGACAAGAAAAGCCACUAUCGAGAAUAAAGGUACCCGUACCGCAAACCGACACAGGUAGGCGAGGAGAGAAUCCUAAGACGAGCGGGAGAAGCGUUGUUAAGGAACUCGGCAAAUUAACCCCGUAAGUUCGCGAGAAGGGGUGCCACAGCAAUGUGGCCGCAGUGAAUAGGCCCAAGCAACUGUUUAUCAAAAACACAGGUCUCUGCUAAAUCGAAAGAUGACGUAUAGGGGCUGACGCCUGCCCGGUGCUGGAAGGUUACGGGAAUCUGUUAGCGCAAGCGAAGCAGUGAACUUAAGCCCCAGUAAACGGCGGCCGUAACUAUAACGGUCCUAAGGUAGCGAAAUUCCUUGUCAGGUAAGUUCUGACCCGCACGAAUGGCGUAAUGACUUGGGCACUGUCUCAACAACGCACCCGGUGAAAUUGUAGUACUUGUGAAGAUGCAAGUUACCCGCGACUAGACGGAAAGACCCCAUGGAGCUUUACUGUAGCCUGAUACUGGGUUUCGGUAUUCUUUGUACAGGAUAGGUGGGAGGCUUUGAAGCCAGGGCGCCAGCCUUGGUGGAGCCAAUGUUGGGAUACCACUCUAAGAAUACUGGAGCUCUAACCUGUGACCAUAAGCUGGUCAAGGAACACUGUCAGGUGGGCAGUUUGACUGGGGCGGUCGCCUCCCAAAGAGCAACGGAGGCGUCCAAAGGUUACCUCAGCGCGGUUGGAAAUCGCGCAACGAGUGCAAAGGCAUAAGGUAGCUUAACUGCGAGACAUACAGGUCGAGCAGAUACGAAAGUAGGGCUUAGUGAUCCGGUGGUAUGAAAGUGGAAUUGCCAUCGCUCAACGGAUAAAAGCUACCCUGGGAUAACAGGCUUAUCUCCCCCAAGAGUCCAUAUCGACGGGGAGGUUUGGCACCUGAUGUCGGCUCAUCGCAUCCUGGAGCUGAAGUAGGUUCCAGGGUUUGGCUGUUCGCCAAUUAAAGCGGUACGCGAGCUGGGUUCAGAACGUCGUGAGACAGUUCGGUCCCUAUCUGUCGCGGGCGCAGGAUAUUUGAAGGGAUCUGUCCUUAGUACGAGAGGACCGGGAUGGACGAACCUCUAGUGCACCAGUUGUCAUACCAAUGGCAUAGCUGGGUAGCCAAGUUCGGAAGGGAUAAACGCUGAAAGCAUCUAAGCGAUAAACCCACCCUAAGAUGAGAUAUC
rnacentral:rRNA from 1 species